GGCCCAGCAGGUUCAUGGGGAGGGGACACAGGUUCUACCUCUGAAUGCAGGCAUGGCAAGGUUCUGGAUGAGCAUGCAAGAUAAGAAAAUAUCGUUGUGGCUAUUUAUAAAAAAUCUGUCCCAGUCAGUGUUCACUGCUUGGAUUUGGCUAUUACACCUGCUACAUAAUCUUA